UAAGGAAUAUUGGUCAAUGGAGGCAACUCUGAACCAGCCAUGCCGCGUGCAGGAAGAAGGCCCUAUGGGUCGUAAACUGCUUUUGAACAAGAGAAAACCCCGGUACGUGUACUGGGUUGAUAGUAUUGUUAGAAUAAGCAUCGGCUAACUUCGUGCCAGCAGCCGCGGUAAGACGAAGGAUGCAAGCGUUAUCCGGAUUCAUUGGGUUUAAAGGGUGCGUAGGCGGACUGAUAAGUCAGUGGUGAAAUCUCUCGGCUUAACCGAGAAACUGCCAUUGAUACUGUUAGUCUAGAGUACAGAUGAUGUGGGCGGAAUAUGACAUGUAGUGGUGAAAUACUUAGAUAUGUCUAUAGAACACCGAUUGCGAAGGCAGCUCACAAAACUGUAACUGACGCUGAGGCACGAAAGUGCGGGGAUCAAACAGGAUUAGAUACCCCGGUAGUCCCUGAGCGGGCUGGCAAGGCGCAU
rnacentral:rRNA from 1 species